rnacentral:lncRNA from 1 species
CCGAGUCAUACAUAGCAUAUGCAAUAUCUGAAGAUCUUUAUUGAGCCUUUUCCUUUUUAGAAGUAGGUAUGUUAGAUAUUGAAAUUCUCCUAUCAAUUGUAAUUCUUCUACUAGUAGAGAAAUAUACUUCUACAUUCCCAUCAGGAGUUUCUAUGAUUCUUUUAGCUUCAAAGUAUUGAACUUUCUUGGGUUCUAUAAAUUGAUCUAG